CAGUCGCCGCGGUAAUACGGAGGGUGCAAGCGUUAAUCGGAAUUACUGGGCGUAAAGCGUGCGCAGGCGGCUUGUUAAGACAGAUGUGAAAUCCCCGGGCUCAACCUGGGAACUGCAUUUGUGACUGGCAAGCUAGAGUCUGGCAGAGGGGGGUGGAAUUCCGCGUGUAGCAGUGAAAUGCGUAGAUAUGCGGAGGAACACCGAUGGCGAAGGCAGCCCCCUGGGCCAACACUGACGCUCAUGCACGAAAGCGUGGGGAGCAAACAGGAUUAGAUACCCGCGUAGUCCCUGUCUCUUAUAC
rnacentral:rRNA from 1 species